CCUACGGGCGGCAGCAGUGGGGAAUAUUGGACAAUGGGGGCAACCCUGAUCCAGCCAUGCCGCGUGUGUGAAGAAGGCCCUCGGGUUGUAAAGCACUUUCAGUGAGGAAGAACGCCUGGUGGUUAAUACCCAUCAGGAAAGACAUCACUCACAGAAGAAGCACCGGCUAACUCCGUGCCAGCAGCCGCGGUAAUACGGAGGGUGCGAGCGUUAAUCGGAAUUACUGGGCGUAAAGCGCGCGUAGGUGGCUUGAUAAGCCGGUUGUGAAAGCCCCGGGCUCAACCUGGGAACGGCAUCCGGAACUGUCAAGCUAGAGUGCAGGAGAGGAAGGUAGAAUUCCCGGUGUAGCGGUGAAAUGCGUAGAGAUCGGGAGGAAUACCAGUGGCGAAGGCGGCCUUCUGGACUGACACUGACACUGAGGUGCGAAAGCGUGGGUAGCAAACAGGAUUAGAUACCCGAGUAGUC
rnacentral:rRNA from 1 species